UACGUAGGUGGCAAGCGUUAUCCGGAUUUAUUGGGUGUAAAGGGCGUGUAGGCGGGAGCGCAAGUCAGAUGUGAAAACUCAGGGCUCAACCCUGAGCCUGCAUUUGAAACUGUGUUUCUUGAGUGCUGGAGAGGCAAUCGGAAUUCCGUGUGUAGCGGUGAAAUGCGUAGAUAUACGGAGGAACACCAGUGGCGAAGGCGGAUUGCUGAACAGUAACUGACACUGAGGCUCGAAAGCGUGGGGAGCAAACAGG
rnacentral:rRNA from 1 species